rnacentral:rRNA from 1 species
GACGAACGCUGGCGGCGUGCUUAACACAUGCAAGUCGAACGCUGAAGCUCAGCUUGCUGGGUGGUUGAGUGGCGAACGGGUGAGUAACACGUGAGUAACCUGCCCUCUUCUUUGGGAUAACGCCCGGAAACGGGUGCUAAUACUGGAUAUUCACUGAUUCUCGCAUGGGGGUUGGUGGAAAGGUUUUUUCUGGUGGGGGGUGGGCUCGCGGCCUAUCAGCUUGUUGGUGGGGUGUUGGCCUACCAAGGCUUUGCCGGGUAGCCGGCCUGAGAGGGUGACCGGUCAGAUUGGGACGGAGAUACGGCCCAGACUGCUACGGGAGGCAGCAGUGGGGAAUAUUGGACAAUGGGCGAAAGCCUGAUGCAGCGACGCCGCGUGAGGGAUGGAGGCCUUCGGGUUGUAAACCUCUUUCGCUCAUGGUCAAGCCGCAGCUUGGGGUUGUGGUGAGGGUAGUGGGUAAAGAAGCGCCGGCUAACUACGUG